UUUUUAUAAUGUAUUUCUUUUAUUCUAUAUAAUUUUACAUACAUACAAACAUAUAGGCAUAUAAACCAACAAAAUCGUGAACAUUUCAUUACUUAUAUAUAGGUCAGACACAUCAAAUGAAAACUAAAAAAUAAAAACCACCCACGUGCCCCAAUUAAACCCAAAAUUUUGAUGAGAAUCUACUUAUUUAUUUUCUAUUGCGUAAUUGUCAAACCUCUUACCAAAGUUUUUAUUCCUUUCAUGCUUAUCAGUUUCCCACAGUUACAAUACACACCUACGUUGAUUUAUUUUUCAUUUUCCAGAUUGUUAAUAAAAUAAAUUUACAUUUGUAAACAAUUGGUCAUUUCUGAAAGGUUAAUAGUGAGUUAUAACAUGUGAUCGCAACUCGGUUUGAACUGGAUUUUUCGAUAGAUCGCAUGAGGUACAAAUAACAUUUAAUACUAUCAACAGGAUUAUGUAUUGCCAUUCAAACGAAAGUUACCUGAAAUCUUUUGUCAAAACUUUAAUAGUAAUGUGACAAAUAUCAUGGAACCGAACUUAUUCAGGAUUGAUGAUCAGCUUUACCGAUGGCUCCCUUAGCUCACUUUUAUCAACUGGGCAACAAUUGCACUGAACAUGAGACUGUGGCAUGGGCAAAUCCAGUCAUUAUCGUGUGGGUUUAUUGGGAUCAGGUUUACGCUAUUCACUGUCAAUCAAAUACAAGCACUAUUUUCAACACGGCAGAUGAGAAUAUUAUGAUACCCAACUGCCCCGCCUCAUUUACUCCAGAUGUAAAAAACCUCUGUCAACCAUACAUGUUUUAAAAAUUACAACAAAAAAUGUGUAUGAUACUAGAUGCAUAUUUUCAGAAAAGAAAGAGGGAAGUCUUUUCGGAAUUGGAGUUGGGGGUGUUGGAGGCAGCAUGGCUGGAAGGGAUGACUUCCACCAAAAAAUAAUGCCAGCCCCAGAUCCUUGAUGUGGCCUCAAAACUUCAAACUACAUCUGAAAGAAGUCAAUGUUAAAGGCCAGCACACAGUUGCCAAUGCCAGCUUGAUGAAGAACGAAGGCGACCUGACGAAAUUAAGGCAACAAGUUCGUCAUAAGUUUAAUGAAUGUUAGG